AUUUCUACUUUGCGGAGUUCUGCCAGGGCCAAGGAGAGUCCUCAGACCUGCAGAGACGCGCAGCAACCUCAGGGAGCCUGUACACAGGGGAGAGGUCCAGCUUCCGCAGUUACCAGGGAGACGCGGAUCUCAGACGCAGCGUUGUAGCCCUCACAUUAGCAGACGUUCAGUCCCUGAGGAAGCCCACGUGCACCGCCCAGCCUCUUGCUCCUCGAAGGUUGGAAACUCUCUAGAACAGCUGCCAGGAAAAACAGCCUGUCGUAUUCUUGGAGUUGAAUAUUCUGCUUCCCAUAACCAAGCCAUCUCCUCCUGGCACGUCACCCAGCGAAGCAUCUCGAUCGUGUGCACCAGGAGAAUGUGUAUGGUCGCACUGCUCACAGGAGCAGGAAUCCUGAAGCACCCCAAAUGCCCACCAACAGGAGAGUGGGUUGAUGAGGUGUGAUGGGGUAUUACACAGCGGCUGCUACAAAUGAGCGAGUGUCACAAAACGACAUGGGCCCCCGUUAGCAACGUGAGCUUGAGUAGCUGAAACGACCUUCAUGUACGUUCCCCACGAUCCCAGUAGCUUGGUGCUGACGGGAGGCUGCAGUUCACCUCAUUCCACUCUCCUUCUGGCCUGUGGACAUGACCGUGUCCCAGGUGGCAGCACAGGUCGUCGGGAAGUAAGCAGAUGGCAAAUGCAGCCGCGGAUGGUGCACUGACCAGCUCCAGCCGGUGCCAGUUACCAGAGGACCGAGGGAUGCUGUUUCACUUACGCGUUCAGACUGUCCAGGUGACGCUGUGAGGCAAGCGCAUGAGUCAGCAGGAAUCCCGGUCGGAUUCCUGCCCUGGUGACCCGAGCAAGCGCGCAGCUUGGUGCCGCGAAGGGUUUUGCAGACAUGGCGCUCACCCCAAGAUGCACAGGUGUAGGUGAGCCCGCUGAGCUUCACGCGCCCUGCAGAAGGGGACGUCAGGGAGACAGACACACAAGCACCACUCGGGAGAAGGAAUGGGUCUCAAGGGACAGAGCAGGUCUGCUGACCCCCAACAAGGGAAAGGGGCCCUCAGCCCCACAAGGAAAAGAGUUCUGCCACCAAUCUGAUGAGGAAGAAGAGCCCAGCUCGGCUGAUACCUUGAUUUCAGUCUGUGAGCACUGGGCAGAGAUCCCAGCCAAAUCCACCCAAUCUCUGAUGCAGGAGACCCCUGGGGCACAGGACCUCUGGGCCAAGGACUGUGAGGUGACCAAGCGGCUGAGCUGUGGCUGUUGGCAAUGCGGUGAUGGAAGCCGUUCUGAAGUCCCCAGGGUCCAGCUCCAGGGCUCUCCCAGGUGGGCUCCGGAGGAGCGUAUCAGGCAACCUUCGAGUCCCAGUCCUAGUUUUGAUUUCGGCAAAGGCCCCCGCCUCUCCGGUCCCCGACGCAGACCCUCUAAUGCUGCCUGAGCGCUGUGUGGUCUGGUUGAGAGAGCUGCCCGCCAUGUCCCCUGAGAGUCCUGACGUCUGAUUCUGCUUAGGGCCCUUUUCACAUUCAGAUUGUUUUCCCUGGUGACUUUGUGAUCAGACGUCACAGGAUUCCUGGAUGAGGAAGGUGAUUUUUCCCAAAACUCAAGCCACCCUACAAGCCUCGUGUUUAGUAGCUGCGUUGGUGGCAGUGGGUCGCCUGUCUUGGUUAGCGUGCAUCUUGUCCCCACCACGUCUUGUGGCCCCCCAGGAGUCAGCUUGCAUAAGUUCCUGAGAUGAGGAAACCGCCUUUAUCACAGCAUCCCUCAUGUCCCAUCAAUGGCAUUAAGCAGGUGUGUCUCCCUGUUCAUCGUGAAGCCCGUCAUGUGUGGUUGUGAGCGGGUGGGGCAGCAGGCAGGGUAACCCCCACCCCCAUCCCCUGCCCAUCACCCACUGCAGCACCUUAGUAGUUAAACCACCUGGAAGUGUUGCUCACAAAAGUUUGUAGCCCUGUGGAGAUAGGCUGUCAACCCAAAUAAUCACGUCUGUUCACCGGCGUCUAGAAUUAGUGAUGUACUCACCCCUCCCACUGUUAAAGCGCCAAUGAAGAGUCAUCAGACUUCUGCUGUUACUUCUCCCCAAAGCAUCCUCCUCUUCCGUGGAACACCUGUGGGAUUCCAUGGUUACCUGGCACGGUCGUCGACCACAGCAUGGGUUUCUGAGUAAUCAGUGUUCUUAAUUGAAUUACUCUUCACCGGAGUGUGGCAUCUGUUUAACUGGUCACAAGAGAAAAGACUUUCUGUUGACUAGAAAACUGGUCAGCUUCUUUCCGAUUCUCCCAGCUCCUCUACAGGUCUAGCUUUUACCUACUAACAGCAGCCAGAGAAUAGACUCUUCUUCCUAAUGUCCCUCUGUCUGUCCCCUGGGCAGCUCCAUGGGAUCCGGGUCUAUCUCCUCUGUUUGCCAUUGGCAGGACCUGUUCUCUGUAGCUGCCUCAAGACUUCCACUGUUCUGUAUCAAGGAUGGGUUUUCAGGAAUCCUGGCUCCCAGUGCCUUGGUUUUUCCACUCUUUUUUCUUGUCAUCAUAAAAAACCCAGUCCUACUCACAGCACCAGCCAGAGGUAGCACAGGAGUUGGAUUGUCCAGUUCACUGUGAGAUGCAGGGCAGCACGAGUACCUAGCCAUCCUCCCCGUGACGCCUCCCUCGCUGGGGUCCAGGUUGAGGAGUGCUUGGUGGUGUGUGAGGCCGACACCAACACUGGGUGUUUCCAUUGUGAAACAUUGCCCUUCAAACGCCAAUAACCUCAGGGGAGAAUCUGACACUUCCCAGGGCCGUGCCCCACAGAUCCAGAUGUGUUUAUCAUAAGCUGAGGAAGGCCAAGCUAAGGACACUCCUUUGUCUGCUAGUAAGAACACCAGGAGAUCUGAGCAGCAAGUCCACAAGGACAUUUGCCUGGUGGCUUCCUUUUCCUCUCUUAUAUUUUUCUCCUUCUCCAAGGCAU